UACGUAGGGGGCUAGCGUUGUCCGGAAUCAUUGGGCGUAAAGCGCGAUGUAGCGGUCCGGUAAGUCCGCUGUGAAAGUCGAGGGCUCAAACCUCCGGAAUGCCGGUGGGAUACCUGUCGGGCUUGAGUACGGGAGAGGCGAGUGGAAUUCCGUGGUGUAGGCGGUGAAAUGCGCAGAUAUCAGGAGGAACACCGAUGGCGAAGGCAGGUCGACUGGGCCGCAACUGACGCUCGAGGAGCGAAGCAUGGGGAGCGAACAGG
rnacentral:rRNA from 1 species